rnacentral:rRNA from 1 species
GACAGAGGGUGCAAACGUUGUUCGGAUUUACUGGGCGUAAAGCGCACGUAGGCGGGUCGUUAAGUCGAGGGUGAAAUCCUGGAGCUCAACUCCAGAACUGCCUUCGAUACUGGCGACCUAGAGUCCGGAAGAGGUGAGUGGAACUCCUAGUGUAGAGGUGGAAUUCGUAGAUAUUAGGAAGAACACCAGUGGCGAAGGCGGCUCACUGGUCCGGUACUGACGCUGAGGUGCGAAAGCGUGGGGAGCGAACCGG